rnacentral:rRNA from 1 species
UACGAGGGGGGCGAGCGUUGUUCGGAAUUAUUGGGCGUAAAGGGUGCGUAGGCGGUUUGGUAAGUCUGAUGUGAAAUCUAUGGGCUCAACUCAUAGUCUGCAUCGGAAACUGCCGGGCUUGAGUAUGGGAGAGGUGAGUGGAAUUCCUGGUGUAGCGGUGAAAUGCGUAGAUAUCUGGAGGAACACCGGUGGCGAAGGCGGCGUCCUGGACCAACACUGACACUGAUGAGCGAAAGCCAGGGGAGCAAACGGG